AGUGAACGCUGGCGGUAGGCCUAACACAUGCAAGUCGAACGGCAGCACAGUAAGAGCUUGCUCUUACGGGUGGCGAGUGGCGGACGAGUGAGGAAUACAUCGGAAUCUACUUUUUCGUGGGGGAUAACGUAGGGAAACUUACGCUAAUACCGCAUACGACCUACGGGUGAAAGCAGGGGAUCUUCGGACCUUGCGCGAUUGAAUGAGCCGAUGUCGGAUUAGCUAGUUGGCGGGGUAAAGGCCCACCAAGGCGACGUUCCGUAGCUGGUCUGAGAGGAUGAUCAGCCACACUGGAACUGAGACACGGUCCAGACUCCUACGGGAGGCAGCAGUGGGGAAUAUUGGACAAUGGGCGCAAGCCUGAUCCAGCCAUACCGCGUGGGUGAAGAAGGCCUUCGGGUUGUAAAGCCCUUUUGUUGGGAAAGAAAAGCAGCAGGUUAAUACCCCGCUGUUCUGACGGUACCCAAAGAAUAAGCACCGGCUAACUUCGUG
rnacentral:rRNA from 1 species